GUAGUACACCCUCCAGAGCGUGUCAGCGCGCGUGUAGGCGCAACCUAUCAAGGAAAUUCCAGAAUUUUUGGAACCUUUUCCGGCAAAUGAUUCGAGCUUGGGAAGGCACGCGUCAACCAUGUACCAGUCGAUACGAGAAG